GCGCAGCCUGAUGCAGCAACGCCGCGUGAGGGANGAAGGCCUUCGGGUUGUAAACCUCUUUUAGCAGGGAAGAAGCGAAAGUGACGGUACCUGCAGAAAAAGCGCCGGCUAACUACGUGCCAGCAGCCGCGGUAAUACGUAGGGCGCAAGCGUUGUCCGGAAUUAUUGGGCGUAAAGAGCUCGUAGGCGGUUUGUCGCGUCUGCUGUGAAAAUCCGAGGCUCAACCUCGGACCUGCAGUGGGUACGGGCAAACUAGAGUGCGGUAGGGGAGAUUGGAAUUCCUGGUGUAGCGGUGGAAUGCGCAGAUAUCAGGAGGAACACCAAUGGCGAAGGCAGAUCUCUGGGCCGUAACUGACGCUGAGGAGCGAAAGCGUGGGGAGCGAACAGGAUUAGAUACCCUGGUAGUCCACGCCGUAAACGGUGGGAACUAGAUGUGGGGUCCGUUCCACGGAUUCCGUGUCGCAGCUAACGCAUUAAGUUCCCCGCCUGGGGGAGUACGG
rnacentral:rRNA from 1 species